GCGUGAGGACGCACGGUGGUCAAUUAGAAGCCCCCCUCGGGAGGGAUUACUGACCGGGGGAAAGGCUUUGAACAGACGACCACUGCUGGGUCACCUGCGAGCCCCCCGCCCCCCCAACCACCUCCCGCCGCCACACGUGUUGGCUCCACUGACGCAUAAUUCCACUCAUCUCACGCGCCAUACCUGCCCACCAGACACUACAUCAAAGCAGUGGUCGGUAACGUCAAAACAACAUUACCGUGCUAACUGUAUACGCGCUUGGGGACGUGGCACGUUUUCCCAGCCAAAAUGAAUCAUCAAAACUAAAAACACCAAUGAAGAAACCGGUUUGGCGUCUUCCCACAAACAUACUCUUCUUCUCUCUUGUCUACAUCUGUUCCUCCAUAAAACCCAAUAACAACUUGAGAGUUACAUUGCAG
ensembl:lncRNA